rnacentral:lncRNA from 8 species
CACACAUACACCCCCACACACAGUCUCCUGGGCGGGUCCAGUCUCAGCUCAUGUCCCGGCCCCCGGCCCAUACACAGUCUCCUGGGCGGGUCCAGUCUCAGCUCAUGUCCCGGCCCCCGGCCCAUACACAGUCUCCUGGGCGGGUCCAGUCUCAGCUCAUGUCCCGGCCCCCGGCCCAUACACAGUCUCCUGGGCGGGUCCAGUCUCAGCUCAUGUCCCGGCCCCCGGCCCAUACACAGUCUCCUGGGCGGGUCCAGUCUCAGCUCAUGUCCCGGCCCCCGGCCCAUACACAGUCUCCUGGGCGGGUCCAGUCUCAGCUCAUGUCCCGGCCCCCGGCCCAUACACAGUCUCCUGGGCGGGUCCAGUCUCAGCUCAUGUCCCGGCCCCCGGCCCAUACACAGUCUCCUGGGCGGGUCCAGUCUCAGCUCAUGUCCCGGCCCCCGGCCCAUACACAGUCUCCUGGGCGGGUCCAGUCUCAGCUCAUGCAGGCCAUGCAGACUCAGUCACAGGCAGCGGCCGCUCCAACCCAGCAACAGCAGAGGCUCGCAACACAUCCUCACUCACACCCUCACACACACCCUCACUCACAUGCUCACACACACUUGCAGCAGGCGGGACAGGGGAUGUUGUUCCCCCAGCAACAGAGCACCAUCCACCCGGCACAGAAAGGGCUCAAGCAGAUACUACAUCCACAACCAUCACCACGGAUCAAAACUGAGCCUUUCAAUACAGGUCCUCUGAGGGAGAGCCCCUCCCCUCUGAUGAUACAUUCACAGUCCCCUUCCCAGCCCAAGAAACCUAACCAAAGGGUGAAAGAGGAGAAGCCGCUCCCCUCCCCGGUGCUGCCCCCCUCCCCCUUCAGCCCCGCCCAGCGACACCACAAACCACAAGACAACAAACACACACACAGUGAGUACACACACCUGGCUCUGUGUGUGUAAGAAGCGUUAGGGAGAGAACGGGAGAGAUUUCUCUGUGUGUCUCUCUGCCUCGACGGUAGAGUGUCUAUUUUAGAAUUUCUUCACAGUGAAUGGUUAAUACAGGUAACCUAAUCAUUUGACUCCUGCAGGAUCAGAUGUGAAGCUAUUGGACGGUUCUCGUCCUGGGCUCCGCCUCCCGGACUCCCCGGCCCCUCCCCCUUCCCAUCAGGACAGCAAACUGAAGCAGGAGGCUAAAACUCCCAUCACUGCCAAGAAGACACAGGUGUGAGAGAGUCAGAAUCAUACUAGAACAAAGCAUGUAGAUUCAGGACUUCAUUUAAAGGAGAAGUUUCCUUUUUUAUAUGUAAAUAGCAUAUUAUAGAAGGGUCCGUGUGAUUUCACAUGUUUUUGAGAAACCUGAGCAAAUCACUUCCUCAUCCUCGUUGUGUAGUAUAUGGGGGUCACGAAAAAACACGAACACGGGCUCCAAAAACACCCAAAUAUGUCCUUUUAUAAAGGACAAAGCUCUCAGUAUUGUAAUGCAGGUCUGUAGAUGUUGUACACAUGACGUUGUGUCAUUCUGAACUUCAGCUACAACGUUGUAUUCUAUUUUGUUCAACUAAAGAGAUAUUUCAAUGCACGCGCAUGUGUGUACUUCCUCGUUCCCAAACCCUUAGGGAGGCGUGGUUCAGAAGCACACUCCAGUCUGCAAUAAGGUGUCUGCUGUAAAAACACAGCUGGCGAUUACUCAUCGACAAUAAGGUGUCUGCUGUAAAAACACAGCUGGCGAUUACUCAUCUGCAAUAAGGUGUCUGCUGUAAAAACACACAGCUGGCGGUUACUAAAUACCAAGCUAGCUAGUUAUUUUUCCUUUCAAACCGCUACGCUACCGACAUGUCUGACUACGAAUACAAAAAGGAAAUGUUAGAAUUUGGGGCCGAGCCUUAUUUAUUUGAACCGGAAUACACCGACGAGGAUCUUUAGCAGAGAGCAAGAGAGCGAGGUGUUCAACCAGAAGCUGAGGCCCGACUCGGGACGGGUGGUGCACUGGUGAGCGAUGCCCACUGAAGACGAGUGACUUUGCUGCGUGGAGUGGGACCUGCUUGUGCCAGCCUUGUAAAAUCUAGAUGUGUCUGGUGACGAGACACCGUUGUCCCGCUAGCACACCCCACUCUGUGCAACAAGUGACAAUGACUUUUCAGCACGCAUCUUCCCUGCUCUCCUAGAAACGUUUUCAAUUUCAAAUUGAGUAAUGGGAGAACGCGUGUAAAACUUUUAUUUCACUGUUGAAGAACAUAUAAUAACAUAAUGACAGUAACAUGGACUACAUGGUGGAUGGGAGGAUACAUAUUGACAGUAACAUGGACUACAUAGUGGAUGGGAGGAUACAUAUUGACAGUAACAUGGACUACAUGGAGGAUUGGAGAAUACAUAUUGACAGUAACAUGGACUACAUGGAGGAUACAUAUUGACAGUAACAUGGGCUACAUGGUGGAUGGGAGAAUACAUAAUGACAGUAGCAUGGACUACAUGAUGGAUGGGAGGAUACAUAUUGACAGUAUCAGUUCAGUAACAUGGACUACAUUGUGGAUGGGAGGAUACAUAUUGACAGCAGCAUGGGCUACAUGGUAGAUGGGAGAAUACAUACUGACAGUAACAUGGACUACAUGGUAGAUGGGAGAAUACAUAUUGACAGUAACAUGGACUACAUGGAGGAUAGGAGAAUAAAUAUUGACAGUAACAUGGACUACAUGGAAGAUACAUAUUGACAGUAACAUGGGCCACAUGGUGGAUGGGAGAAUACAUAUUGACAGUAACAUGGACUACAUGGAGGAUACAUAUUGACAGUAACAUGGGCUACAUGGUGGAUGGGAGAAUACAUAUUGACAGUAGCAUGGACUACAUGGUAGAUGGGAGAAUACAUAUUGACAGUAACAUGGACUACAUGGAGGAUACAUAUUGACAGUAACAUGGCCUACAUGGUGGAUGGGAGGAUACAUAUUGACAGUAGCAUGGACUACAUGGUAGAUGGGAGGAUACAUAUUGACAGUAACAUGGACUACAUGGUGGAUGGGAGGAUACAUAUUGACAGUAACAUGGACUACAUGGUAGAUGGGAGGAUACAUAUUGACAGUAACAUGGACUACAUGGUGGAUGGGAGGAUACAUAUUGACAAUAUCAGUUCAGUAACAUGGACUAANNNNNNNNNNNNNNNNNNNNNNNNNNNNNNNNNNNNNNNNNNNNNNNNNNNNNNNNNNNNNNNNNNNNNNNNNNNNNNNNNNNNNNNNNNNNNNNNNNNNUGGUGCUGACACCGAUAUGGUGCUGACUCCAACAUGUUGCAUUCUGACAUAGACAUGAUGCUGACACAGACAUGGUGCUGUCUGA